CCUUUGGAGAGUCAUACCAAACGCAAUUAGGUUUCCGAAAGCGGGCUCUAUGAAUAAGGAA
ncrna:unclassified sequences RAGATH-18 RNA